GCCAUAAUCAAUCGCAUAGCGUUUGGUCGUGACGUAUGUCAUGCGACGGGACCGGCUCCUUCACCACUAACGGAGCCAGCUGGAAAAUCAAACUUUUCUCGAACCCGAUGGGGAGAAGCAACAUCAUGGCCACCAACAAAACUCAGCAAAGCUUGUUCUUGCUCCGACUUUAAUUGAUCGAUAUUCGGCAGCGAUCCCACAACAGACCGAAUAGCUUCUCUCGUAUCCUGCUCCAUUGUCUUCCAGGUCUUCCUCUGACUACAACUGAAACUGGCGCGCGACCUCGACGUCAUCGUUCUCAGCCACUCCCUCUGUUCGCUGAUUGAACCGCCAAAAAUCUGGCUUCCAAGGAACCCAUGCAUAUGAAGCAGACCCAGACUACAGAAGUGAAAUGAAAAUUGAGCGGAAGUCGGAUGAACACAUCCCAGACACACUUCCCUCUGGUCAACCGGUCUCAUCCAUGAUGCAAGGCCCCAGGGAGCGCCAACAGGGGGCGCCCAUUCCCUUCCUCUGUUCUCCUGGGAUCCCUGUGUUUAUGAUUAAGCAGAGCUGCUGCGGCUCAAGGGGGGGGUCGGCAAUAAACACCUUUACUUUGGA
ensembl:lncRNA